rnacentral:rRNA from 1 species
UACAGAGGGUGCAAGCGUUGUUCGGAAUUACUGGGCGUAAAGCGCACGUAGGCGGAUAUUUAAGUCAGGGGUGAAAUCCCGGGGCUCAACCCCGGAACUGCCUUUGAUACUGGGUAUCUCGAGUCCGAGAGAGGUGAGUGGAAUUCCGAGUGUAGAGGUGAAAUUCGUAGAUAUUCGGAGGAACACCAGUGGCGAAGGCGGCUCACUGGCUCGGUACUGACGCUGAGGUGCGAAAGCGUGGGGAGCAAACAGG